AUUGAACGCUGGCGGCAUGCCUUACACAUGCAAGUCGAACGGCAGCUCGGGUGCUCGCACCUGGUGGCGAGUGGCGCACGGGUGAGUAAUCCAUCAGACAAUGUCCUGUGGUGGGGGAUAGCUCGGCGCAAGCCGGAUUAAUACCGCAUAAGCUGCCCGGCUGAGAGCGGGGCACGUGCGGGUCUCGCCUUCUCAGGUUGGCUGAGUGCUGAUUAGAUCGUUGGUGGGGGAAAGGCCUACCAAGGCGACGCUCAGUAGCUGGUCAGAGAGGACGACCAGCCACACGGGGACUAGGAAUCGGCCCAGACUCCUGCGGGAGGCAGCGGUCGGGAAUUUUGGACAAUGGUCGAAAGCCUGAUCCAGCAAUGCCGCGUGUGUGAAGAAGGCCUUCGGGUUGUAAAGCACUUUUGUCCGGAAAGAAAUCCGUGACUCUAGUACAGUCGGGGGAUGACGGUACCGGAAGAAUAAGCUCCGGCUAACUACGUG
rnacentral:rRNA from 1 species